AGUUUACACAGUUCCUUAUACUAAAAUAUAAAAUAAGAACCAACUUGUUGUUCUUAUACUGUUCUGGGUUUUGAAACGUUCUUGCAUUAUAAUCUUGUAAUUUAUUGUCGUGAUAGCACACGGUCUGUCUGAUGUGGAAAAUGUUGAAAGGCCACAUGCAGCAUCGAUAAAGUGUAAAGCAUAAUUUAAGAUAGGCGUUUGGCUAUUUCAAUGCUCGAGGUAGAUGCGAUGGUUUAUUACAGCAAAUAGCAAACAAUAGCAAAUAGCAAACAAUUACUAAAUCUUACUAAAACUUACAACAACACAUGAGCUCAUAUAUGUAAAUAAAACGUUUAUUUGUUAAAAAGCAGCAAAAAGUAAGUAAUGAAAUAAGAACAAAAAAUAAUUAGAACAGAGACAAAUGAUGUAAACAGUAUGUUAUAUCUAGAUCUGAAAGUUAUUUAAGCGUUCAUUAGUUGAACUUUAUAUUCACUGUUAUUAAAUGUACAGACUGCUAUAAACGGAGGCAGUCACUGUUGUGCUUAACAUAUGUCUUUUGAGUGUUGUUGAAUUCUUAUAAUUUCUGACUGUGAUUGAAUGUAAAAAACAUUAUUGUUCUUAUCUAAUCUUUAAUGGUUUCAGGUUGUGUCUGAACAUCCCCUUUAUCAGAGUGUUCUGGUGCACUUGCUUUGCAUGCCGUGCUUUUCCUGUACCACUGUAGGUCUUUUUUUUUCUGUGAGACCCAGCUGAAGAUAUCAAGAGCUCAGAUGUUGGCCUACAGUUCAUUACACUGACUUCUUUGAUGUUCCCUGAAAGACUGACUACUACCAUUUCAUUAAGCUAAACCGAGAACCUGUGACAGUUUGUGGAGUUUGAAUUUAAAGUCACACAUGUCUAUCAAUAAAUUGAAUGUUUUGUCAUGA